AACGUGUCGCGAUGGAUGACUUGG
rnacentral:rRNA from 1 species